rnacentral:rRNA from 1 species
AUUGAACGCUGGCGGCAGGCCUAACACAUGCAAGUCGAACGAGUGGCGGACGGGUGAGUAAUGUCUGGGAAACUGCCUGAUGGCGGGGGAUAACUAAUGGAAACGGUAGCUAAUACCGCAUACCAUCGGAUGUGCCCAGAUGGGAUUAGCUAGUAGGUGGGGGAAAGGCUCACCAAGGAGACGAGCCCUAGCUGGUCUGAGAGGAUGACCAGCCACACUGGAACUGAGACACGGUCCAGACUCCUACGGGAGGCAGCAGUGGGGAAUAUUGGACAAUGGGCGAAAGCCUGAUGCAGCCAUGCCGCGUGUAUGAAGAAGGCCUUCGGGUUGUAAAGUACUUUCAGCGGGGAGGCGUUACCCGCAGAAGAAACACCGGCUAACUCCGUGCCAGCAGCCGCGGUAAUAC